rnacentral:rRNA from 1 species
GUCAAGUCCUCAUGGCCUUUAUACUCAGGGCUACACACGUGCUACAAUGGCCGGUACAAAGGAGUUGCAAGACCGCGAGGUGGAGCUAAUCUCAUAAAACCGGUCUCAGUUCGGAUUGGAGUCUGCAACUCGACUCCAUGAAGUUGGAAUCGCUAGUAAUCGUAGAUCAGCAUGCUACGGUGAAUACGUUCCCGGGCCUU